AUUGAACGCUGGCGGCAUGCCUUACACAUGCAAGUCGAACGGCAGCACGGGGCAACCUGGUGGCGAGUGGCGAACGGGUGAGUAAUGCAUCGGAACGUACCUUACAGUGGGGGAUAACGUAGCGAAAGUUACGCUAAUACCGCAUAUUCUGUGAGCAGGAAAGCAGGGGAUCGCAAGACCUUGCGCUGAUUGAGCGGCCGAUGUCAGAUUAGCUAGUUGGUGAGGUAAAGGCUCACCAAGGCGACGACCUGUAGCGGGUCUGAGGGGAUGGUCCGCCACACUGGAACUGAGACACGGUCCAGACUCCUACGGGAGGCAGCAGUGGGGAAUUUUGGACAAUGGGGGCAACCCUGAUCCAGCCAUGCCGCGUGAGUGAAGAAGGCCUUCGGGUUGUAAAGCUCUUUCGGCCGGGAAGAAAUCGCACGGGCUAAUACCCUGUGUGGAUGACGGUACCGGGAUAAGAAGCACCGGCUAACUACGUGCCAGCCGCCGCAGUAACAC
rnacentral:rRNA from 1 species